UUUAAUUAGAGAGUUUGAUCCUGGCUCAGGACGAACGCUGGCGGCGUGCCUAACACAUGCAAGUCGAGCGGGGUUGUCUCUGGCACUGAGU
rnacentral:rRNA from 1 species